CAGGACAAUCGGAGAUGCGGUUCUCUUCUCUAGAAGAACUAUAGAGAUCAUCUCAACACAAUCUUCAGUCAAAGAGCUGAGUCUGGGGCCACCCAGGUAUGGAUGAUUGAAGUGAAUGGAGCCUAAUAAAUUAACUGAAGUUCCCAGCAUUUUGGAGAUGGGAUCUUCCCUAUUGGUAGUUCAGAAUAUCUCACCUUCUCCCAGCACCCACUGGACAUCUGUCUGUCUACUCGCCCACACCUCCACCCAACAAACAAAGAUGGACCUUCUACUGUCUGCUGAUGCUACGCCAUAUGCCGGAUGAGAAAGCUGGAACAGGGGAGUAUUACCUAGGCUCUUUUCCAUAUGCAUGUGUUCAAGGACAGCUCCUGACUGGUCCAACUGGCCAUUUGGACCAUCUGUGGCACAGCUGGUCCUGCGCUGUCCCCACACGGCUUCCUUCCCCCUUUAUUAGUGUCUAACACUCCCAGUGUUCUUCCCAGAGGCCAGAAUGUUUAUGGCUUACAUAUGGUCCCCAUUUCCCUUUUCCAAUGGGAUUCUGGCAACCUACCAUCUCCAGCCUUUCCAGGCCCCGCUUUUAUCCAGCAAAGCUGUUUACUCACAUACAAAAGUUAGUGUUUUUUCUGGGAAAGCAGGGUGUGGGGUGCAGUAGUUUCUUCUCCUUAGUGUGUGCAUAGGAAAUCCUACCAAAUUGCCCUAUAUUUUGAUGUAUUCUAAGGCAAUAUCUAUUCUAUUUCACUAUAUGACUCCAGAAAUCAAUCCAUAAUACCCUUAAGUUCAAAUAUCUUACUUUGUUUUAUCUUUUUCCUAUUUUUGGAUAGUUGUAUCACCAUCCCAAAUAAUGCUGAAAUAAACAUUUGU